GGAACAAUUCAGGGAGACGUACAAGAAAAGUCACAAAGGCCCCCAUGAUGAAUACGAUCAUUAGGUCCCGCAAACAUGCAGUAAUGAAAGAGAUUUUGGUUGUUUUUUUUUUUUAAGUCAUAAUGGCACCAAGAUACAAGAGAGCACUGAAAAGCAGGUGACGCACUCACUGUGGCCACGCCGUAUGCAAACACGGCAUCAGUGGAGCGGGAGGCGUCUAGAAACUCUAACACGGUUUUCCAGAAAACCCUUUGAAUCCUCACAUCGUGUAGCUGGAAGCCAACUGAAAUCCUAAGAAAACAGUUUUGCCUUUGUGGAAGAGCCAGAAGUCUCGUGCUGCCAGAUAUCUUGCUAAGUUGGAUGAGAACGCGCCAUGAUGUUUUUAUCAGUUGUUUUUCCUUACUUUCACCACACCUUAUAAAGGCACUCACAAAAGACUUCCAGAACUGCUUCGCUGAAAUUGUGUCAUGCCUGAGACCGUUAAACACAACAACAAAGCCAGGUGUGGAGGUGCACGGCUGCAAUCCCAGCACUCGGGGAAGAUGAAGCAAGAGGAUCUGCAGUUCAAGGCCUGCCGGAGCUACCUAGCAAGAACAUAUCACAGAAUGACACAAUAGUAGUCAUGGCAAUAAUGAAUAUUCUAUCGAGUCUCUACUUCUGAUUAGAAUUUCUGGGUAGUAGGAUAAGGGUAUCUUGAACUUCAAUGGAUUAUGCAAAACCUUCCAGACUAAUUUACCAAAUUAUCUUCCCUCCCACUGUGUCUGACAUUUUGUUCCACUCCAUGUUGUCAGUUGUUAUUGUCGGUCUAUUUAGCAUUAGCCUUUGUAAGGAAUGCACAAUGAUGUUUCAUUGUGUUUUAAAGUUUAUUUUUCUCAUUACUAAUUAGCAUAUUGUCUAUUGUUUUGGCCAUGUGACUUUCCUCUGCAUAUGAACGGCCUGUUCCUCUUUUCCAUUGGUCUGUAGGAGGUAUUUCCGCAUCAUUUAAACAUGAACCUCUGCCAGUUAUAUGAAUUGCCAGUAUCUUCCCUUCAAUGGCUU
rnacentral:lncRNA from 1 species